GUAAUACAUAACGGGAGCUCGGCUAACCGGGCUGAGAGGGUGGAUUGGCCACCGACCGUCAACCUGAUCUGGGUAAUGCCAGCGGAGGGAACAGAUGUUGAUCCUUUU
rnacentral:ncRNA from 1 species